ACCACCCUGAUACUGAAAAUGAUAUAGUCUUUAAGAGUUUCCGCCUGUUAGUGCUGCCAGCUUAGGCAAUAAAGCAAUCUGCCUUGGGAGUACGGCCGCAAGGAUGAAAACUCAAAAGGAAUUGACGGGGGCCCGCACAAGCGGUGGAGCAUGUGGUUUAAUUUGAAGCAACGCGAAGAACCUUACCAGGUCUUGACAUCCUCUGACACUCCUAGAGAUAGGACGUUCCCCUUCGGGGGACAGAGUGACAGGUGGUGCAUGGUUGUCGUCAGCUCGUGUCGUGAGAUGUUGGGUUAAGUCCCGCAACGAGCGCAACCCUUGAUCUUAGUUGCCAGCAUUCAGUUGGGCACUCUAAGGUGACUGCCGGUGACAAACCGGAGGAAGGUGGGGAUGACGUCAAAUCAUCAUGCCCCUUAUGACCUGGGCUACACACGUGCUACAAUGGAUGGUACAAAGGGCUGCGAGACCGCGAGGUUUAGCCAAUCCCAUAAAACCAUUCUCAGUUCGGAUUGCAGGCUGCAACUCGCCUGCAUGAAGCCGGAAUCGCUAGUAAUCGCGGAUCAGCAUGCCGCGGUGAAUACGUUCCCGGGCCUUGUACACACCGCCCGUCACACCACGAGAGUUUGUAACACCCGAAGUCGGUGGGGUAACCGUAAGGAGCCAGCCGCCUAAGGUGAACAGAGGG
rnacentral:rRNA from 2 species